UAAAACAAACUCCAAACUGGGACAAGAUUUUUAAAGUUCCUCUCCUCUCUCUUUCUCUCAAACCAAGACGCAGGAAAAACAAAUUCUCCACAGGAUGAUGAAGACGAAGAGGAGACAUGAAAGAGCACUUACAUAGGCUACUUCGGUGUUUCGCCGGGAAAAUAAAAGUUACCAUGAUCAGUCGUCGGCGUACAUGGGAAGGCCAGGCAUUUUUGGUUUAAUUUUCUCUCUUUUUUUUAUCAUAUUAUGUAAUUCUUUUUUUGGAAAAAUGUCCUAUUUCCAUAAAGUUUUUAUUAUUGUUAUUCAGAUUAUAUCGUAAACAAAUUCGAUCGUAAUAAGAUAAAACGAACUGCUUUUCUACUUUCUGUGUGUUUUCACCUUCUUUCUACAACAUUUACAUUUCUUGUUGUAAUGUGAAUAAGAAUUAAGAAGACUAGUUGAUUAUGUAUUACUAUAUUUAUGAACAAAUUAUAUAUUUGUAUUUAA